UACGGAGGGGGCUAGCGUUGUUCGGAAUUAUUGGGCGUAAAGAGCUUGUAGGUGGCUCGUCGCGUCGGGAGUGAAAACCCGCGGCUUAACCGCGGGCCUGCUUUCGAUACGGGCGGGCUAGAGUUCGGCAGGGGAGACUGGAAUUCCUGGUGUAGCGGUGGAAUGCGCAGAUAUCAGGAGGAACACCGGUGGCGAAGGCGGGUCUCUGGGCCGAUACUGACACUGAGAAGCGAAAGCGUGGGGAGCGAACAGG
rnacentral:rRNA from 1 species